UUUGAUCCUGGCUCAGAUUGAACGCUGGCGGCAUGCCUUACACAUGCAAGUCGAACGGCAGCACGGGAGCAAUCCUGGUGGCGAGUGGCGAACGGGUGAGUAAUACAUCGGAACGUGCCCAAUCGUGGGGGAUAACGCAGCGAAAGCUGUGCUAAUACCGCAUAAGAUCUACGGAUGAAAGCAGGGGAUCGCAAGACCUUGCGCGAAUGGAGCGGCCGAUGGCAGAUUAGGUAGUUGGUGAGGUAAAGGCUCACCAAGCCUUCGAUCUGUAGCUGGUCUGAGAGGACGACCAGCCACACUGGGACUGAGACACGGCCCAGACUCCUACGGGAGGCAGCAGUGGGGAAUUUUGGACAAUGGGCGCAAGCCUGAUCCAGCCAUGCCGCGUGCAGGAUGAAGGCCUUCGGGUUGUAAACUGCUUUUGUACGGAACGAAACGGCCUUUUCUAAUAAAGAGGGCUAAUGACGGUACCGUAAGAAUA
rnacentral:rRNA from 2 species